AUCAACUCCGGUUGAUCCUGCCGGACCCCACUGCUAUCGGGGUGAGACUAAGCCAUGCAAGUCGAAGGUCUCCAGCUUCCGGGGGCCUGGCAGACGGC
rnacentral:rRNA from 1 species